UUACCUUAAAUGUAGAAGUAGUU
rnacentral:siRNA from 1 species